GAAAAAAUGAGCUACGCAUUGAAUUCACUGAGUAGACUGGAAAGGAUCCAGGAGGCCAGCUAAACCAGGAGAGUAGCCUGAGGGAGCUGGCUGCGUGCCUCACUGAGCAUUUCUCCUUGGUCAUCGGCGUGCAGGCUGGCUUGAAGAUGACCCUCAGUCAAACUCUCUUCUUUCUAAGAAAACUGAAAGAUCAUCAAAGAGCUGGUGGGUUGGAAAGUAGAGGUCACCAACACGGAUAUAUU
rnacentral:lncRNA from 1 species